rnacentral:rRNA from 3 species
AAUCCAUAGGUUAAUGAGGCGAACCGGGGGAACUGAAACAUCUAAGUACCCCGAGGAAAAGAAAUCAACCGAGAUUCCCCCAGUAGCGGCGAGCGAACGGGGAGGAGCCCAGAGCCUGAAUCAGCAUGUGUGUUAGUGGAAGCGUCUGGAAAGGCGCGCGAUACAGGGUGACAGCCCCGUACACAAAAGCGCAUGUGCUGUGAGCUCGAUGAGUAGGGCGGGACACGUGGUAUCCUGUCUGAAUAUGGGGGGACCAUCCUCCAAGGCUAAAUACUCCUGACUGACCGAUAGUGAACCAGUACCGUGAGGGAAAGGCGAAAAGAACCCCGGCGAGGGGAGUGAAAAAGAACCUGAAACCGUGUACGUACAAGCAGUGGGAGCACCCUUUGGGUGUGACUGCGUACCUUUUGUAUAAUGGGUCAGCGACUUAUAUUCUGUAGCAAGGUUAA